rnacentral:sRNA from 1 species
GAGAGAGAGAGAGAGAGAGAGAGAGAGAGAGAGAGAGAGAGAUUGACCUGUAAUACCUGCUCAAUAACUCUUGCUCAGCAGAGGUCCUGGUACAAAAAGAACAUCCAUUUUGCCACUCAGCACACAUUUCUUGAGUGCCUAUUGUGUCCAGGACAGCAUUUGAGAGUACACAUGCCAAUAAACAUAUCUAGAGCACCUGUUCUAGAUAACGGCUCUGAGGAAAGAGCAGAGUGAGAGAGGCUGUAAGGGACAAGUCAUCUACACCCAGUGGUCAGAGGAGGUUAGAGUCAGUCUUUUCUCAAGCCGGUUAAGCAGAGACUGGAAGGAGUGUAGAUGAGGGAUCAGACAUAGAGCAGGGGCCUAAACCUGGCUUUGGAGACAGAUGCUGCUGGUUCAGGGGUGCUGAGGUGGGUGAACACUCGGUUGGCCUGAGGAACAGCAGGGAGGUCUGUGGGGUUGGAGAGUAGUAAACUCAGUGAUCCCAUGGGGGGUAGGGUGAGGUGAGAGAAGAGGGCCAGGUGUAGCGGUGGCGUCUGUAACAUCAGGGCCAGGUGUAGCGGUGGCGUCUGUAGCAUUGGGGCCAGGUGUAACAUGAGCACUCAGGGACUGGAAGCAAGAGCAUCAUGUGGAAUGAGAGGCUCAUCUGGCUACAGUAGGCCUCUCUGGAGGCAGAGGCAAGGGGGAAUCUCUUAAGCUAUGGGGCAGCCAGAACUACAUAGAGAGACCCUGUCUCAAACAACAAAACAAAAUUCAAGCUAACAUGUGAGAGCAUCUUGGUGUUUUUAUUGGGACUGUACUAUGUUCGUUAAAACAUUUGAUGUUGACUAUAAUAAUGACCAAAGUGUUUAUUCACUUCAGUGCUGUGAGGCGUCCUGUCUUCUCGGGUCUACGUCGGUAGCUUUCUGGAAUGCUGAGAUAUUCCCUGGCCCUUCUGUUCUGCAGCCCCUUCCUUAUACAUUUAUGUUUCAUCUCAUCCUCUUUUUGAGAUAGAAAGUAGUUUUCCUGACCCCUCACACACACAGACUGCGUGUUAAGUACUUAGACCCACUAGUUUUCUGUCCUGUAACAUUAUUUUCUACUCUUAUCUUUCAUAUGUCGUGUGUGUUUGAGAGAGUAUGGGGUAUGUAUGUAUUGAUGUGGAUUCAUACACAUGUGGGAACAUGUGGAGUACAGAGGCUGAAGUUGGGUGUCUUCCUCGGUCACUCUCUAUAUUUAUUUAUUUACUGAGAAAGAGUCUCAUGUAGUCUUGGCUGACCUGGCAUUUGCUGUGUAGUUCCAACUGGCACUGAACUUGGGGAUUUGCCUGUGCUUGUAUUAAAGCCCUGCAUGGCUC